UGUGGGAGCGAGCCUGCUCGCGAGGCGGUGUGUCAGUCGACAAGAUACUGUCUGAUAUACCGCUAUCGCGAGCAGGCUCGCUCCCACA
rnacentral:misc_RNA from 1 species